AUGAACGCUAGCUACAGGCUUAACACAUGCAAGUCGAGGGGCAGCAUGGUCUUAGCUUGCUAAGGCCGAUGGCGACCGGCGCACGGGUGAGUAACACGUAUCCAACCUGCCGUCUACUCUUGGACAGCCUUCUGAAAGGAAGAUUAAUACAAGAUGGCAUCAUGAGUCCGCAUGUUCACAUGAUUAAAGGUAUUCCGGUAGACGAUGGGGAUGCGUUCCAUUAGAUAGUAGGCGGGGUAACGGCCCACCUAGUCUUCGAUGGAUAGGGGUUCUGAGAGGAAGGUCCCCCACAUUGGAACUGAGACACGGUCCAAACUCCUACGGGAGGCAGCAGUGAGGAAUAUUGGUCAAUGGGCGAGAGCCUGAACCAGCCAAGUAGCGUGAAGGAUGACUGCCCUAUGGGUUGUAAACUUCUUUUAUAAAGGAAUAAAGUCGGGUAUGCAUACCCGUUUGCAUGUACUUUAUGAAUAAGGAUCGGCUAACUCCGUGCCAGCAGCCGCGGUAAUACGGAGGAUCCGAGCGUUAUCCGGAUUUAUUGGGUUUAAAGGGAGCGUAGAUGGAUGUUUAAGUCAGUUGUGAAAGUUUGCGGCUCAACCGUAAAAUUGCAGUUGAUACUGGAUAUCUUGAGUGCAGUUGAGGCAGGCGGAAUUCGUGGUGUAGCGGUGAAAUGCUUAGAUAUCACGAAGAACUCCGAUUGCGAAGGCAGCCUGCUAAGCUGCAACUGACAUUGAGGCUCGAAAGUGUGGGUAUCAAACAGGAUUAGAUACCCUGGUAGUCCACACGGUAAACGAUGAAUACUCGCUGUUUGCGAUAUACAGCAAGCGGCCAAGCGAAAGCGUUAAGUAUUCCACCUGGGGAGUACGCCGGCAACGGUGAAACUCAAAGGAAUUGACGGGGGCCCGCACAAGCGGAGGAACAUGUGGUUUAAUUCGAUGAUACGCGAGGAACCUUACCCGGGCUUAAAUUGCAGAUGAAUUACGGUGAAAGCCGUAAGCCGCAAGGCAUCUGUGAAGGUGCUGCAUGGUUGUCGUCAGCUCGUGCCGUGAGGUGUCGGCUUAAGUGCCAUAACGAGCGCAACCCUUGUUGUCAGUUACUAACAGGUUCCGCUGAGGACUCUGACAAGACUGCCAUCGUAAGAUGUGAGGAAGGUGGGGAUGACGUCAAAUCAGCACGGCCCUUACGUCCGGGGCUACACACGUGUUACAAUGGGGGGUACAGAGGGCCGCUACCACGCGAGUGGAUGCCAAUCCCAAAAACCUCUCUCAGUUCGGACUGGAGUCUGCAACCCGACUCCACGAAGCUGGAUUCGCUAGUAAUCGCGCAUCAGCCACGGCGCGGUGAAUACGUUCCCGGGCCUUGUACACACCGCCCGUCAAGCCAUGGGAGCCGGGGGUACCUGAAGUGCGUAACCGCGAGGAGCGCCCUAGGGUAAAACUGGUGACUGGGGCU
rnacentral:rRNA from 1 species